UACGUAGGGAGCAAGCGUUGUCCGGAAUCAUUGGGCGUAAAGCGCGCGUAGGCGGCCUCAUAAGCCCGUUGUGAAAGUCAAAGGCUCAACCUUUGAAAGCCGAUGGAUACUGUGGGGCUAGAGUCCGGAAGAGGCGAGUGGAAUUCCUGGUGUAGCGGUGGAAUGCGCAGAUAUCAGGAGGAACACCAAUAGCGAAGGCAGCUCGCUGGGACGGUACUGACGCUAAGGCGCGAAAGCGUGGGGAGCGAACAGG
rnacentral:rRNA from 1 species